GGCUUUAUAGUCAAUAGAUUUAUGAUAUUAGAUUGCAAAUCUAAAGUAACAUUUUGUUAAAGCUU
rnacentral:tRNA from 2 species